UUUGAAAAAGAUAAUGAUAUUGUGAACCGAAAUAUUAAUAAAAAGUUAGCUGAUGUUGAUAUACACAAUGUAACUUAGUUGAGGUAUAAAAACGUACCGUUGAGAGGUUGAACUUCACUUUUUUCCGGAAGAUGAAUAUUCGGAUUAUUUUAACUACAACAUAAACCACUUUCUACAAGCGCUCUC
rnacentral:sRNA from 1 species